CCGCCUCAGUGCUUCUUCCCUUA
rnacentral:piRNA from 1 species